rnacentral:misc_RNA from 1 species
ACAAAGCUUAGCUGAAGUUAUAGAGAUUGGCAUAGAUGACAAUGGCUUAAUAGACAUGGAAUCUCUACAGAAACAACUUCACAUUUAUAGAAAUGCCAAUCGUCCAAUUUUAGGGUCGUUUUCUGCUUGUAGUAAUGUGACUGGGAUUGAGUCAGAUACUCGAGGAAUUGCCAGGCUUCUUCACCAAUAUGGAGGUUUUGUGUGCUUUGAUUUUGCAGCAAGGUACCAACUCAUAACUUCAUUGUUUAAUUAUUUUUUUUUAUACAUUGCUGCUGGAUGUUUUGGUGUUGAACAUUUUGUUUUGUGUGAUUAUUUAUCUAUAAAGUGGGCCUUAUGUGGAGAUUGACAUGAGAUCUGGG